rnacentral:rRNA from 1 species
GACGAACGCUGGCGGCGUGCUUAACACAUGCAAGUCGAACGGGUCUGCCCUGUUUUUUGCGGGGUGGGUCAGUGGCGAACGGGUGAGUAACACGUGAGUAACCUGCCCCUCACUUCUGGAUAACCGCUUGAAAGGGUGGCUAAUACGGGGUGUUCUGGCUGUGCCGCAUGGUGUGGCUGGGAAAGAUUCACUUUUGUGGUGUUUUGGUGGGGGAUGGGCUCGCGGCCUAUCAGCUUGUUGGUGGGGUGAUGGCCUGCCAAGGCUUUGACGGGUAGCCGGCAUGAGAGGGUGGGCGGUCACACUGGGACUGAGAUACGGCCCAGACUCCUGCGGGAGGCAGCAGUGGGGGGUAUGGAACAAUGGGCGGAAGCCUGAUGCAGCGACGUCGCGUGAGGGAUGGAGGCCUUCGGGUUGUGAACCUCUUUCGCCGGUGAAGAAGGUCCUGCUCUUUGUGGUGGGGUUGACGGUAGCCGGGUUAUGAAGCGCCGGCUAACUACGUG